CGCACAUUGCGCCCACCAGUAUUCUGGUGGGCAUGCCUGUUCGAGCGUCAUUUCAACCCUUAAGCCCCUGUUGCUUAGCGUUGGGAGCCUACUGGACAUGUCCUGUAGCUCCCCAAAGUCAGUGGCGGAGCCGGUUCGCACUCCAGACGUAGUAGCCUUUACACGUCGCCUGUAGCGCGGGCCGGUCCCCUGCCGUAAAACACCCCAAAUUCUGAUAAGGUUGACCUCGGAUCAGGUAGGAAUACCCGCUGAACUUAA
rnacentral:misc_RNA from 1 species